AUUGAACGCUGGCGGCAUGCUUUACACAUGCAAGUCGAACGGUAACGCGGGGGGUAACCCCUGGCGACGAGUGGCGAACGGGUGAGUAAUACAUCGGAACAUGUCCUGGAGUGGGGGAGUAGCUCGGCGAAAGCCGGAUUAAUACCGCAUACGCUCUGAGGAGGAAAGCGGGGGACCGUAAGGCCUCGCGCUGCGGGAGUGGCCGAUGUCGGAUUAGCUAGUUGGUGAGGUAAAGGCUCACCAAGGCGACGAUCCGUAGCUGGUCUGAGAGGAUGAUCAGCCACACUGGGACUGAGACACGGCCCAGACUCCUACGGGAGGCAGCAGUGGGGAAUUUUGGACAAUGGGGGCAACCCUGAUCCAGCCAUGCCGCGUGAGUGAAGAAGGCCCUUGGUUGUAAG
rnacentral:rRNA from 1 species